rnacentral:tRNA from 1 species
UGCCCCUUCGUCUAACGGUAGGACACCGCACUUUGACUGCGGCAAUCUAGGUUCAAUUCCUAGCGGGGCAUCCA